rnacentral:rRNA from 1 species
UACGAAGGGGGCUAGCGUUGCUCGGAAUCACUGGGCGUAAAGGGUGCGUAGGCGGGUCUUUAAGUCAGGGGUGAAAUCCUGGAGCUCAACUCCAGAACUGCCUUUGAUACUGAAGAUCUUGAGUUCGGGAGAGGUGAGUGGAACUGCGAGUGUAGAGGUGAAAUUCGUAGAUAUUCGCAAGAACACCAGUGGCGAAGGCGGCUCACUGGCCCGUUACUGACGCUGAGGCGCGAAAGCGUGGGGAGCGAACAGG